UUUUUAAAGUCACAACGAUUAUGUAAAAGAUACGAAAGGAAAAGAAAUGCAGUACAGUGUUUAGUUUAAUCAAUUGCAUGCAAAUUGGUAGGAAAAAGAAAGAAAUUGACAAUUAUGAUUUCAAUUUCAUUUCCUCACAAUUUGCCGAACGGAAAAACACAGCAAUUGAUCCAGGGUGGCACAAGGUGUUGCGUGACUUGCGUCGGGCCGUGCAACAGUUGUGUUAAGGCUCGGCACAACCACUUUCGGUUCUAUGUGGGUGUUUGGCUGUUUGCUACUAGACCCAAGUACCCAACAGUUUUACUGAUUGACAUUUUUCUCUUUUAAGGAAUUCACAGAAUAUACUAACUUGGAAGACUGCAUCUCAUAUUUAUGCAACUACAUCACCACCAAUGGACCCUUUGACGGUCUCCUUGGCUUCUCUCAGGGAGCAACAUUAUCAGCCCUUUUGAUCGGAUACCAAUCACAAGGGAAGGUGUUGAAGGAUCAUCCACCCUUCAAGUUCUUCAUAUCGGUUUCUGGAUCGAAGUUUAGGAUUCCAAGCAUCUGUGAGGUUGCUUACAAAGAACCCAACAAGGCUAAAUCAGUUCAUUUUAUUGGGGAAAAGGACUGGUUGAAACUUCCCUCUGAGGAUCUUGCCGCGGCUUUUCAAGAUCCUCUCAUUAUAAGGCACCCUCAAGGCCACACUGUGCCAAGACUAGAUGAGGCGGUGAGUGAGAAGCUGCUUAACUGGGUGAAAGAGCUGUUGGUCCAGACAAGUAAGGCUAAAGAUGGUGUGCAAAAUGGG